rnacentral:pre_miRNA from 1 species
AAUGAUGUUUAGUAGCCAAGGAUGACUUGCCAGCUUGCCUGCACCAUUUCAGAAGGUCUUUAAUUUAAUUUUAAUUACAUGCAUGAUGAAAAGAUCAUGACAUUAUUAUUAUAUAUAAAAGGCCAUUUAUAUGGUUAAUUUUCCAGGCAGUAUCAUAUCCUUGGCUAUCUUGUGAUAGGUUCU